rnacentral:rRNA from 1 species
UACGUAGGGCGCAAGCGUUAUCCGGAAUCACUGGGCGUAAAGGGCGCGUAGGCGGUUCGGUAAGCGUGCGGUGAAAGCCCGGGGCUCAACCCCGGGUCGGCCGUGCGGACUGCCAGACUGGAGCACUGUAGAGGCGGGUGGAAUUCCGGGUGUAGCGGUGGAAUGCGUAGAGAUCCGGAAGAACACCGGUGGCGAAGGCGGCCCGCUGGGCAGUGGCUGACGCUGAGGCGCGACAGCGUGGGGAGCAAACAGG